rnacentral:rRNA from 1 species
UGGGGAAUAUUGCACAAUGGGCGCAAGCCUGAUGCAGCCAUGCCGCGUGUGUGAAGAAGGCCUUCGGGUUGUAAAGCUCUGUCUUUUGGGACGAUAAUGACGGUACCAAAGGAGGAAGCCACGGCUAACUACGUGCCAGCAGCCGCGGUAAUACGUAGGUGGCAAGCGUUGUCCGGAUUUACUGGGCGUAAAGGAUGCGUAGGCGGAUUUUUAAGUGAGAUGUGAAAACCCUAAGCUUAACUUGGGGACUGCAUUUCAUACUGGAAAUCUAGAGUGCGGGAGAGGAGAAUGGAAUUCCUAGUGUAGCGGUGAAAUGCGUAGAGAUUAGGAAGAACACCAGUGGCGAAGGCGAUUCUCUGGACCGUAACUGACGCUGAGGCAUGAAAGCGUGGGUAGCAAACAGGAUUAGAUACCCUGGUAGUCCACGCCGUAAACGAUGAGUACUAGGUGUAGGAGGUAUCGACCCCUUCUGUGCCGCAGUUAACACAAUAAGUACUCCGCCUGGGAAGUACGAUCGCAAGAUUAAAAACUCAAAUGAAUUGACGGGGGUCAUAGCUG